rnacentral:misc_RNA from 1 species
AGCGACUAUGGAGAAGUACAGUAGCGAUGUGGCUGAUUGUAUCAUAGAGAAGGCCAAGAGGAUGUGCAGAGAUCAACAAGCUCAUCAUGAUGUGAAGCUGGAGACGAGAGUAGAGUGUGGUGAUCCAAGGGAUGUGAUUUGUGAGAUGGUGGAGAAGCUGAGUGCGGACAUGCUAGUGAUGGGAAGCCAUGGUUACGGUCUGAUCAAGAGGGCAUUUCUUGGGAGCGUGAGCAACCACUGCGCACAGAACGUCAACUGUCCUGUGUUGAUUGUGAAGAAACCAAAAUCAAGCGGUGGGAGUGGAAGCAAAUAAAUACCAAUUCCUUUUCAAUUUUUUUUUUCCUGAAAAUUGAGGACUCCUUUGUUUGUAUAUAAUUUUUAAAAGUAGAAUUCCAAUUUGAAUUUACACAUUCAAA